rnacentral:rRNA from 1 species
UACGGAGGGGGCAAGCGUUGUCCGGAAUCAUUGGGCGUAAAGAGCGUGUAGGCGGCCCGGUAAGUCCGCCGUGAAAGUCCAGGGCUCAACCCUGGGAUGCCGGUGGAAACUGUCGGGCUCGAGUCCGGAAGAGGCGAGUGGAAUUCCUGGUGUAGCGGUGAAAUGCGCAGAUAUCAGGAGGAACACCAAUGGCGAAGGCAGCUCGCUGGGACGGUACUGACGCUGAGACGCGAAAGCGUGGGGAGCGAACAGG